AUAACAUUCGGACCGUCGGUUUACCGAGCAAUAUAACCCGCUCAGUGGAAGAUCUUCCUUCCAUCGU
rnacentral:pre_miRNA from 1 species